AAACAGAGUGUGUCUCUAACCCUAGGAUUUCAAACGCGAUUGUUCAUCUUCUUUCUUACAAUCUGAAAGGAUGUCUGUUACAGAUUCAUCCUAUUAAAGCCCUCCAUUAAUUCUCACCCAUGAUUUAUCUUCAAUGCAAGCUUCAAUCCUGCAAGACUGUGUAUCUGCAUGUAUAAAAAGACCGGACGCUCCUCCUCCACCGUUCAAGUGCAGUUGCUCCGGUUCUGGGAGGCCAUGAAUAUCAUCCUCUCACUUAAGUUUAUUGUAUUACUUCCACCGUCUAAGAGCAGAACCGCUUCUGUUUUCUCUGGGUCGGCUUCUUAUUGAAGAGGAAGCAUAUCAGCAUAUGAGGGAGAGAAAAAAACAGAGGGAUGAUGAAUAAUACGCGUAAGGGCUACGCCAUCGUUGAAAAUAUAACGAAAAUAUCCAUAGCCAGAGCUUCAGCCAUUAAUGGCGGCGGGAGGAAUCACUUGGAGGCGGAGGGGAGAGAACUUUACUUGGCGCCUUGGCGGUGGUGGUGGUCGGAGUUGGUAUAUCUAACAGGCGCCUCCUUCUGUCAACUUCUCCAUGACACCGAGCGGUUUCAGUUUAUCAACAGCAUAGGAAAAGGUCCUCUUGGUGCUCAUGUCAAACAUGUCAUUGAAAUCUUAUUUGAGGUUUCGGCUUCCUCAUUUCACCUUCUGUCUGCAAUAAUGUUAUACUUCUCACAUAUGUAAAGUUGAAUUUGAUUUGGUUAUCCUUUUCACCAGAGCAAAUAAACGGAAGUUGUUAUGUUAUUAUCCUUUCCAGAAAGGCUGUUUUGAUGAUUUGAGGAACUAUCUAUGACGGGAGAAAGCUAAGCACGAUGUCAACUAUCCUGCUGGGGCUGCAGCUGUUGAUCUGAACGUAGCUUACCGAAUGUCAUGGAGGAUUUGCAGGUUUGCUUUUGUUUUAUACAGUUGGUCUGGAUAAUGUUUACAUAAGUGUUUGGUCACCUUAGAUACAGUUGGUUUUGGUUGGACAAAAUUGUCUCAAGUCGUGUGUUUAUGUGAAUAUGUAUGGUUUGGUUCUUGAUUGUGUUUGAAUUGUGCAUGCCCUGAAAGCUUCAACACAGAUAUGGUUCCUACCAAGCACUGAUUCAAAAGAGAAUAUUGUGUACCCUAACAACUUCAAACCUCAGGUCAAGGUUGUUGACAAGUUUAAAUUUUUGCUCCACGACAUAGACAUUCCGAGAGACCUGCUUGACGUGUAGAAUGAGCUGCUUAAGAUUGGUCUGAAGCCAGUGAUGAACACUACGCAAAGGAGAGCUGCUGCACAGAUUCAAGGUGUACAGAACAAACCAAUACAUAAGAAGAAGAAACAAGAGAUCAGCAAAAUAUGGCUUAACUAAAAAAAAUAUGGCAGCACUUCUCAUAUCAGAUUUUGGGUCAGAUAUAUGUCUGAAGAAAUUUAUUUGCGCAUCUCAUCAUCGCCACACAUAUAGGAUCCAAUCUGAAGAGGAUAUCCUCGAUAAGAUACAAGCAUAAAAGUACUACGGAAAUUAUAACUUCUGAUUUUCUAUGUUGAUGUGAGCGUCUUCGUUUCCUUUAAUGAUUGUGUUGUGUACUAAUGAUCAUAAGAAUGUAAAAUUGACAACAAAUUCCAGCAUGGCAUACACAAAAAAAU